AUACGGAGGGUGCAAGCGUUACUCGGAAUCACUGGGCGUAAAGCGCGCGCAGGCGGUCUUUUAAGUUGGAUGUGAAAGCCUACAGCUCAACUGUAGAACUGCAUCCAAAACUAUUAGACUAGAGUCUGGGAGGGGAAGAUGGAGUUAGUUGUGUAGGGGUAAAAUCCGUAGAGAUAACUAGGAAUACCAAAAGCGAAGGCGAUCUUCUGGAACAGUACUGACGCUGAGGCGCGAAAGCGUGGGGAGCAAACAGGAUUAGAAACCCCGGUAGUCC
rnacentral:rRNA from 1 species